GCCUGGGAUAGUUCAACUGAUAGAGCAUGAGACUCUUAAUCACCUGGUUGUGGGCUUGAGCCCCACAUUGGGCA